GCCGGGCGUGGUAGCGCGCGCCUGUAAUCCCAGCUACUUGGGAGGCUGAGGCAGGAGAAUUGCUCGAACCCGGGAGGCAGAGGUUGCAGUGAGCUGAGAUUGUGCCACUGCACUCCAGCUUGGGUGACAGAGUGAGACUCCGUCUCAA
rnacentral:SRP_RNA from 1 species